rnacentral:rRNA from 1 species
GAUGAACGCUGGCGGCGUGCCUAAUACAUGCAAGUAGAACGCUGAAGGAGGAGCUUGCUCUUCUGGAUAAGUUGCGAACGGGUGAGUAACGCGUAGGUAACCUGCCUGGUAGCGGGGGAUAACUAUUGGAAACGAUAGCUAAUACCGCAUGACAACAGUUAUUGCAUGAUAACUGUUUAAAAGGGGCAACUGCUCCACUACCAGAUGGACCUGCGUUGUAUUAGCUAGUUGGUGAGGUAACGGCUCACCAAGGCGACGAUACAUAGCCGACCUGAGAGGGUGAUCGGCCACACUGGGACUGAGACACGGCCCAGACUCCUACGGGAGGCAGCAGUAGGGAAUCUUCGGCAAUGGACGGAAGUCUGACCGAGCAACGCCGCGUGAGUGAAGAAGGUUUUCGGAUCGUAAAGCUCUGUUGUAAGAGAAGAACGAGUGUGAGAGUGGAAAGUUCACACUGUGACGGUAUCUUACCAGAAAGGGACGGCUAACUACGUG